rnacentral:lncRNA from 1 species
CAUUACUAAUCAACGAUGGAUGCAGAAGCAAUUACUAAAGAAGUCAGAAAACAGAAAAAGUCGAGUGUUUUAAACGAUGAAAGAGCAAAGUAAACGAAAGGUGUACCUUUUUUACUAUAUUCUCUCUCGUUCAUCCAUUUCAUGCUGCAACCGAAAAGACCAAAGGGAAUGAAUGGGUGUGUUUUAAUACAUGACGUAACGCCAAGUAUUUAGAGAUUGCUUGUAAAUUCAUACGUACUACAAAUACUCGGUAGAUUCUAACUCCCGAAUGAAAGACUUUGUAUCUAUCUUCUUAAUGGCACAUGAAUAUAAUUAUACAUGGAUUUAUACUAACGUUAAACAAAUAUUAAGUGGACCAUGGUUCCCACUAACAUAUCGUACAUGAAAAAUCAUAUUCUCAAUAGACGUACUUUGUAUGUAAUGAGGCAGGAGAACCCACCAACCCAUGAAGUGGAAUAAUAUGUAGAUAUGCAAAAGUAUUUCCCACAAAAGUAAACUAAAAGAAGUUCGAAGCUUAAAGAUACCACUUGUCUAAUCUUCAAGAAGAAUCAAAACAUCUUUACAAGUUGAAGAUAAAUCAAAGUUAUCCAUAAUUUGUUUCUCUACAAAAGCCUCGAUCUCAUAUCUCUCACAAGUCACAACACAUAAGAAGAGAAAGAGAACGAGAGAAAAUGAUGUCGGACCAAAGUUCUGUUCACUUGGAUGUCAAAGACAACCAUGUAAUAUCCCUAACCGUCCUUACAUACGUAGCUUCAUAUAUUUUGUCAAUAUGUAAAUGAAUAUUGCUAAUGCAGGUGGUUAUGAAGAAUGGUAUAGUCGAAGUGACCAUAUCAAAACCAGAUGGUUUUGUCACUGGAAUCUCUUACCAUGGUGUCAACAAUCUACUAGAAAGUCAUAAUGAAGACUAUGAUCGAGGGUAUAUGUAGAAUUGAAUUUAUGUAUUUACAUUAAUUAUAUGUACAUGAAUCAAUCUUAUUACCUCUACAAUCAUAUGUAUUGUUUUGACCAAACACAGUUACUGGGACCUUGUUUGGAGCGAGUAUGGAACGCCUGGAACCACAGGAAACUCCGAGCGGUAUGUAUGCAUCAAUCAAAGCAAAUAUUUCUUGAUAUAAAUUUUUACAUGUAUUGUCAUAAAUGUGACCGAGGCAGGAUCAAAGGCACAAGUUUUCAAGUAGUACUGGAAAAUGAGGAACUGGUAGAGAUAUCCUUCACAAGGAAAUGGGAUUCUUCUCUCAAAGACCAUAUUGCUCCCAUUAAUGUCGACAAGAGGUAUCUCAUUUAUAUCUGUGGCAGUGCUAUAGAUAUUGAUUUGGAUUUGCAUAACUCAGGUUCAUAAUGCGUAAAGAUGUUACUGGAUUCUACUCAUACGGAAUAUUCGAGCAUCUAGCUGAAUGGCCAGCUUUUAACUUGCCUCAGACAAGGAUUGUUUACAAGCUUCGUAAAGACAAGUAAGCAACUAAUGUUUCAAAGAUAGUUCACGAUCAAUAUUAUUAUUAACAUCAAUAUCGUCACUAUCAUUAAUAUCAAUAUCAUUAAUGAAAAGACCUUUCAGCUUGUUAUCCAAAAAAUUGUUAAGAAAUACUGUAAUAAAAGGAACAUAGGAGUUUGUAACUAGGUAUUUGAUCAAAUAGAAUCGUCUGGUUCCAAAAAAACUCCCUGGAGAUGAUAUUAGUGAAUUUAUAAGUGUUGUUAUGUCAGGUUUCGAUACAUGGCAGUUGCUGAUAACAGGCAGAGAAAAAUGCCGCUUCCAGAAGAUAGAUUGGGUAAAAGAGGAAGACCAUUGGCUUAUCCUGAAGCUGUUCUUCUUGUUCAUCCUGUUGAAGAAGAGUUCAAAGGAGAGGUUGAUGACAAGUAUGAGUAUUCAUGUGAGAACAAAGAUCUUAAAGUGCAUGGGUGGAUCUCGCAUAACCUUGAUUUGGGUUGCUGGCAAAUCAUUCCUAGCAAUGAGUUUAGAUCAGGUGGCUUGGUGAAACAGAACCUUACUUCUCAUGUUGGUCCAAUCAGUCUCGCUGUAUGUUCUUUUUUCUUUCUUCCUCCUGAAAACAUGUUGGAACCAAUGGGUUCUUACUUGGCCAUUUGAAACACAAAUGAUUGUUGUUCAUACUCAGAUGUUUAUAAGUGCUCAUUAUGCGGGUGAGGACAUGGUGAUGAAGGUAAAAGCAGGGGAGUCAUGGAAGAAAGUGUUUGGUCCUGUUUUUACUUACCUUAAUUGUUUGCCUGACCAAACCUCUGAUCCUCUUUCACUAUGGCAAGACGCUAAAAGCCAGGUCUAUUCAUCAACUUUGGUGCAUAUUAAAAAAUUUAUAUGAAAAGAUGAAACCUAACCUUAGAGGAGAUGGUGUUUCAUUAGAUGUUAAUUGAAGUCCAAAGCUGGCCUUACGGUUUCCCCGCUUCAGAAGACUAUGCAUUGUCUGAUAAGCGUGGUUGCAUCAAUGGUAGAUUACUAGUACGAGACAAGUAAGCACUCACAUUCCACAAUCACCACAUAAUUUGCUUUUCUUCAUAAUAUUAACAAUCAUUUACUCUUUUUUCCUCUACUUAUGCGUUUUUGAUUCCUUCAGGUCCCUUAGUGAUGAACUUUUACCAGCGAAUGGUGCUUUCAUAGGUUUGGCUCCACCAGGAGAGGUUGGAUCUUGGCAAACAGAAUCUAAAGUGAGCUUGAACAUAUUGUCUUCUUGGACCAUAUAAUAUAAUAUAAUAUGUAGUCAAGCAAUUAGUGAACUUAUGUUUAUAUCAAUUUUCUUAUAUACAUAGGGAUAUCAGUUCUGGACAGAAGCAGAUGCAGAUGGUUAUUUCACCAUAAAUAAUAUCCGAGAAGGUGAAUAUAAUCUCAAUGCUUAUGUGACAGGAUGGAUUGGAGACUAUCAAUACGAAGAACUGAUUACCAUCACUGCAGGUUAACUUCUUUUUUUUUAAUAAUUAAACUUACAUUGUAAUCAAGAUAAUAUAUUACUCUGUGUCAAAACUUGCAUGCAUGUUGACUUAACAUGAUUCACACUCUGCACCUAAAACCAGGCUGCGACAUUGACAUUAGCAGUAUCGUGUAUGAACCGCCACGAGAUGGGCCAACGGUGUGGGAAAUAGGAAUCCCUGACCGGUCGGCAGCUGAGUUCUUUGUUCCAGACCCAAAUCCCAAAUACAUCAAUAAGCUAUAUAUUGGUCAUCCUGACAGGUAUAUAUACAACUUUAAUGCUUUGAUUUGCAUUUACAACUUGAUUAAAAUGAUAACAUAAUAAAGUUUAUAGGUUCAUCUAACAAAUAAAUGCAUGGAAUGUAAAAGCAAACACAAACAAAAAGUAGAGACCUAAGUUAAGUAUGGUUGUACUCAUGCAGGUUUUUUUUUUUUUUUUGAUCAAAUACUCAUGCAGGUUUAGGCAAUACGGGCUAUGGGAAAGAUACACAGAACUAUAUCCUAAGGAAGAUCUGAUGUUCACCAUUGGCGUCAGUGAUUACCAAAAGGAUUGGUUCUUUGCACACGUUACUAGGUAAUGCUUAUAUUCUAUUUUUUUUUUCAGCUACAAAAACAACAACAAAGAGGACAUGGUUUUCUUGUUAUAUAUAUAUAUAUAUAUAUAUAUUUAAAAUACAUAAAAAAAAUUACAAACGAUUGUAGAAUAGUUGAUUGUAAAAUCAUAACACUUACUAUAAUGGUUCAUAAAGGAAAGUCAUGUUGCCAAAGACAAAAUUACAAUGUUGCAAUUAAGGUUUUUGUGGAAGAUGGGGAUGUGAGAUCCGGUUAAAUGGUUUUACAAUAAGUAGAAACAAUCGAGGUAAGAAAUUUCGUUGAGAUAGCAGGGAACCGGAGAAAAAUACUAUUCUUUGAGAUUCAUAGGAGUGAGUGAUGGACCUGCAGGUAAUAACGAGCUCGACCAAUGGAUCGCAACUGGUCUUCUCAGUAAUCAUCAUUUACCGCUUUAACGAUAGUGGUCUUUUCGGUACUUAAUUCAAGUGUGAGAUCCGACACCAACAAAAGCGGUUCUCCAUAUUAGGUUAAAGUUAUAGUUUCUAAUUUUAUUUGUUAUGAAGUAUUUUUUAAAAUGUCGUCCUAAAGUUAAAUCCGUGAAAAAUUUACAGAACGGUUAGUAUCAUAUUAAGAGAAGAAAUUAAACAUCUUGUGACGGACGUGUGAGUUGUGACUUUAUAUAGUACGUACUACGUAGAACGUUUUGUAUGAAAAAAAACAUCUAGUCCGUCACAACAAAAUGACUAGUUAGUUAGACCCAAAAACUAAACCUCGAUGAGUGAACGUGCUCAUGAAACAGUCAUUACUCAAGUAUGGUUGUGCACAAUCACAUCGACGAUAGAAUAUGUCUGGUUAGAACGGGAUGGUUGCGAAGUACGCCAUGAAAGUGGAUAGUAUGCACCAACAAUGACUCCAAAAUGAGCAAACUGGUCGACCGCAUUCGUACAGUUUAUAGGUUUGUGUGUUGGCUACUUUCCUCAUUCACAUGGAAUGACCUUCCUGAGAAGAUAACUCGUUGAAUAUAUUAUAAACUUAUGUAAUGCAAAACAUCAUGAUAUAUGAACUAUUAUAUAUGUAUAUUGUAUAACCUUUCCGUGCUUUUUCUUAGAUUUAUAUCAAAUUUUCAGAUUUCUGAAAUCAUGGUUUAAAAUUUUAAAAUCGGCCAAAAGAAAGUAUUAAUCAAUAUCUAAAGUUUCUAGAACGUAUAUAUAUGUGGUCCAACAAAGAAGACAAACCAGCAAAUCUGUAUUAGUUUAUAGAAUACAUCAAAAAUAUGUAAUGGAAAAAUAGAAUAUGGUACACACGAGAGAAAAAGAAAGUAAGGAGUAAAAAAAUAGGAGGCUGACAGAUCCGGAAGGAGCUAGAAAAGAAACGUGAGCCAAUUUUGUAUUCAUUAAAGGAGACAACUAAUUAAAGCUUUUAACUGUGUUUUUUUGGGUCUAUAUGGUCAACUUGGAGCUGGACAUGUGUCGAUUCCUCUUUUUCUUCUUGCUUCUCGUUUCUUCUUUUUCUUUUGUGUUAAGCUUUUUAGGUUCACAUUAAAAAUUAAAAUUCACUGUCAGCUAAGUCUUGCCUCCAGUAGGUUUGGCCGACACACCCUAACAAUUUUAAUAUAUUUCAGGUAAUUUAUUUACUAAACUUUCUCUUUAAACUAAUUUAGGGUGUUGGAUGCUAUAUAUUUGUAUAUUUUGAUCUUGAUUUACUUGCAACUUGAAGUUAUGACGGUGAUGUAACUUAACAAUUUUUACUGAUUUUGUAAAGAUCAAAAUUUUACUACAUGCAAAAACGUUAAUAAGUAAAAGAAAAAACAAAACUAAAAUUAUACAGUUUAUUGAAUAAAUUAGCUAAAACAAUUAUCCAAAAUAGCUACGUUAAUACAUAUCAAUUUCAGGUUUGAUCAUAUGGUAUUUUAUGAAUGUACAUUUUAGUUAUUCGAUAAAUAUGUAAUUGUAGUUUCAAUUUGAAAAGAUUAUUAGGAAAAAGAAAUAUUUUGUAGUUAGUAAAGUUAUUUCCAACUAGUAUAUUCCAAAGGAUAUCGGAGCCGAGCGUAGCCACUGGUCAAGUCCAAGUGUAAAUAACUCGAGCCGAAGAAACUGGCCGAUGAUUUGUUUUAUAUAUAUAUAUGAAGCCGCAUAAGCUACAGCUUUAUGCCAGAAUUCGAAACCCUACAUGUCUCACUCAAUUCAAUUGUAAAAUUGAAAUCUGAUUAACGCACUAAUCUAUAAUUAAGUUAAAAAUUAAUCUCAUUCUUCCUUGCAUUACUUAUAUAAAACCCUCUCUCGCCUCCUCCUUAGUAUUCAAUCUCCACACUCUCUUCUUUUCUUAGCUCUCGCUCAUAUCUCUCUCUAUGUUUUGCCCUAGUUAACUUGUUUUCUUCUUCUUUUUCUCAAUCCGCUUCACAUCAAUGCAUCCUCAUGAUUCAUGUGCUUUUCCGAUUAAGUUUUCUCUGGGAUCUCGAAGAAUUGCCAAUUUCUUAAAUAUGUUAAAGCAGACGAGUCGCUUCGAUUACUUCAUUUGGUUAGUCUGAUUCUGUUUAUAUAGUUUCUUAACUUGCAAUUUGUUUUAUGAAAUGUUUUGUGUUGUUUGUUAGAUCUCUCCAUAUUUAUAUAUUAGUUUGAGAAGUCAGAUGUUUGCAUGUGCAGAUUAAUGCUCAUGGAUGAGAGGUUUGUCAACCUUUAAUGGAUCUGUCUCCCCUUCUCAGGUUUGGGUUCUCAUCUCCAUUUUUAUUUGUUAGAUGCAUAGUGUGUGUUAUAUAGAAUGUCUCAGCCUUGAUCGUACUUCUGUUGUGUUUUUUCUUUUGUUACUUCCGUUAAGAUGCGUACUGUCUGAUUGUCUAAUUACUCAGUGUCUAUGUUCCUUUCACUAAUGAACAGCUUAAUAGUGGUUAAUUAGGCGCAUAAAAUAAAAGCAAAUUAUUUUGUCUCUUGACCAGAGAAACUGAUCAAAACUUAGAAAUGAAAUUGACUCUCAUGAUGUGUUUUAUUCAUUUUCUCGCAUCUUUUUUAUGUAUACCUAAAAAAGAGUUUGAAAGCUUAGAUUCUCACUUUAAGGUUAAAAAGGUGUCUGUACGCAAAUUACAUCGUAUGUACGAAGUACGAACACAUCUUUUUCCUUCCUUUUGCAAAUUAACGCUGCAUCACCCACUAGAGAGUUCUGAUGUUUAUUUCUGAUUGUAAUGUUCUUUUUUCCGACUUCAUGGACUGUACUAAGUUGAACUCUCACUAUACCUCUAUUUGGAAGCUAUUUUCAGAAUUAAAGCUUGAUCUUUGUGUUCCUUGUCAAUAAACGUUGAUGUCUAAAUAUUAUAUUUUAGACAACUAUAUAUAUGAUAAGUUAAUAGUCCAAAGCAAUCCAAAAAAAAAGCUCGAGGGUGAUAGUUGAAAACACCUUAGGAACCACUUUUAGACAGCAAUAUAGAAUAGUUUCAUUUGUGUUCAUAAGCCUCUAGAUGUUCAAAAAUAAAUUGUUAUUUCUUUGAGAAAGCAGUGGCUUGAGUAGAAACUCCAUUAAGUUUGUAAUUAGGUUGGGUUCUUAGAUUAAAAAGGAAGUGAAUGGAGCUUGUUACACUGGAAAGAAACUAAGAAUUCUGUUGAUUAGCGACGAGCAAUUCAAUUUUGUGCAUAAUUCAGGUUUAUGUCCACAUAUCUUUGUAACAUGAAUUUGAAUCUAAAAAUUCAUCUGCCUUUGUGUAUGCAGUGGUAAACUGCUGAGUUGAGAUACGAUUCCGAUGAUGGUUUUACUAUGAGGCUGCCGUGGUUAACUAAACCAGAGACUGACAGGUUCGCUCGAGUUGUCUCUCAUGUCUAGACCAUUUGUGAGAAGGGAUUUUCUGUUUGCAUCAUUCACUCCCACCAAUCUCUAAAUAUGCAAUAAGUAUUAUUCUCACUUAAGAAAGAAACAAUCCUAUUAUUUGAGAUGCUUCUACAGCUUGGAAUAUGUUGUUUCGUUCUUUAUAUUGCUACCAAAACGUUAAGAAACCAGGUGAACAUUUCCCUUGAAAGGUCUAGCCUGUAGGUCAUAGUCAUUAGACCCACCUCUCACUUCUCGAUUAAAAUGUGUUAUUUCUUCCAUCAAAAUCUGAUCCUUGAGGAGUUAGGUACAUAAGUAAGUGCACAGAGUGAACACAUAACUUGAUAAAGUCAUUUACACUUUGGACAUUUUCCCAAGAGAUGCCAAACUUCUCAAUGGAUUUUGAGUUUUUCAAUGAUAGCUAAAAUUUGUAUCUAGCACUACUUAUAGCUACACUAGUAUACUUGAUAAUAUUUGGGGGGAGUGGGGGAGAUGCCGUGUUAUUAUUCCCUUCUCAUCGAUGGUCUAGAUGUGUGAGGUGACUCUCAUGGAGGUAAAGAGAAAUGGUGAUUUAUAGGAAAGCAUCCACCACAAUGGUAUUAUCCUAAAAGGGUUAGAAAAUUUUCAGCUUUUGGAAUUAUUGUUUUGUAUUGCUAGAUUUUGGACCAGUGGUCUGCUAAUGCAACACAUGUGAUCCUUUCGAGUAUAGUUGUGUAAGCUUUAUUUUUCAGGUUGAGUACAACAGCAUGCCAUUAGUCCAUUACUAAUCAACGAUGGAUGCAGAAGCAAUUACUAAAGAAGUCAGAAAACAGAAAAAGUCGAGUGUUUUAAACGAUGAAAGAGCAAAGUAAACGAAAGGUGUACCUUUUUUACUAUAUUCUCUCUCGUUCAUCCAUUUCAUGCUGCAACCGAAAAGACCAAAGGGAAUGAAUGGGUGUGUUUUAAUACAUGACGUAACGCCAAGUAUUUAG